GACGAACGCUGGCGGCGUGCUUAACACAUGCGAGUCGAACGGAAAGGCCCUGCUUUUGUGGGGUGCUCGAGUGGCGAACGGGUGAGUAACACGUGAGUAACCUGCCCUUGACUUUGGGAUAACUUCAGGAAACUGGGGUUAAUACAGGAUAGGAGCUCCUGUUGCAUGGUGGGGGUUGGAAAGUUUCGGCGGUUGGGGAUGGACUCGCGGCUUAUCAGCUUGCUGGUGGGGGUGUGGCUUACCAAGGCUUUGGCGGGUCGCCGGCCUGAGAGGGUGACCGGCCACAUGGGGACUGAGAUACGGCCCAGACUCCUACGGGAGGCAGCAGUGGGGAAUAUUGCACAAUGGGCGGAAGCCUGAUGCAGCAACGCCGCGUGCGGGAUGACGGCCUUCGGGUUGUAAACCGCUUUCGCCUGUGACGAAGCGUGAGUGACGGUAAUGGGUAAAGAAGCACCGGCUAACUACGUG
rnacentral:rRNA from 1 species